rnacentral:rRNA from 1 species
GAUGAACGCUAGCUACAGGCUUAACACAUGCAAGUCGCGGGGCAGCAUGGGGGUUGCUUGCAAUCCCCGAUGGCGACCGGCGCACGGGUGAGUAACGCGAAUCCAACCUGCCCUUCACCACGGGAUAACCCGGCGAAAGUCGGACUAAUACCGUAUGUUGUCCAUUGACGGCAUCCGAUUUGGACGAAAGGCUUGGCGGUGAGGGAUGGGGAUGCGUCCGAUUAGCCAGACGGCGGGGUAACGGCCCACCGUGGCUACGAUCGGUAGGGGUUCUGAGAGGAAGGUCCCCCACACUGGAACUGAGACACGGUCCAGACUCCUACGGGAGGCAGCAGUGAGGAAUAUUGGUCAAUGGGCGUAAGCCUGAACCAGCCAAGUAGCGUGCAGGAUGACGGCCCUAUGGGUUGUAAACUGCUUUUAUGCGGGGAUAAAGUGGCCCACGUGUGGGCUUUUGCAGGUACCGCAUGAAUAAGGACCGGCUAAUUCCGUG